UACGUAGGUGGCAAGCGUUGUCCGGAUUUAUUGGGUUUAAAGGGUGCGUAGGCGGUUAUAUAAGUCAGUGCUGAAAUAUCCCGGCUUAACCGGGAGGGUGGCAUUGAUACUGUAUGACUUGAGUAAAGUUGAGGUUGGCGGAAUUGACGGUGUAGCGGUGAAAUGCUUAGAUAUGACACAGAACACCAAUUGCGAAGGCAGCUCGCUAAACUGACAUUGACGCUGAGGCACGAAAGCGUGGGGAUCAAACAGG
rnacentral:rRNA from 1 species